AAUCAAACGAGACUCCCAAAGUAGCGGCGAGCGAAAUGGGAUGAGCCCAAACCGGCUGGAUUCGUUCAGCCGGGGUUGUAGGGCCGGCAUAUGUGAUUCAUGAGUAGGCAGGGGAAAUGAGCUGGAAAGCUCUGCCAGAGCGGGUGACAGCCCCGUACCUGAAACCGAAAGCGACACAGCCGGUACCUGAGUACCGCGAGACACGUGGAACCUCGUGGGAAUCCGGGAGGACCAUCUUCCAAGGCUAAGUACUAACCGACGACCGAUAGUGUACCAGUACCGUGAGGGAAAGGUGAAAAGAACCUCUGUUAGAGGAGUGAAAUAGAAUCUGAAACCUGGUGCUUACAAGCUGUGAGAGCGGACUUGUUCCGUGAUCACGUGCCUUUUGCAUAAUGAGUCAGCGAGUUAAUCUGUACUGCAAGGUUAAGCGUGAGUGGAGCCGUAGGGAAACCGAGUCUGACAAGGGCGAUGAGUAGUGCGGAUUAGACCCGAAACCGGGUGAUCUAUCCAUGAGCAGGUUGAAGCAAGGGUAAAACCUUGUGGAGGACCGAACCAAUACCGGCUGAAAACGGUUUGGAUGACUUGUGGAUAGGGGUGAAAGGCCAAUCAAACCCGGUGAUAGCUGGUUCUCCCCGAAAUAUAUUGAGGUAUAGCCUCAUGGAUUGUCUACCGGAGGUAAAGCACUGACAGGGCUAGGGGUCCUACCAGAUUACCAAACCCUAUCAAACUCAGAAUGCCGGUCAGAUGUACCAUGGGAGUCAGACGGCGGGUGCUAAGGUCCGUCGUCGAGAGGGUAAGAGCCCAGAUCAACAGCUAAGGUCUCCAAAUCUAUGCUCAGUGGUUAAGGUGGUGACGUUGUAGAGACACCCAGGACGUUGGCUUAGAAGCAGCCAUCGUUUAAAGAAAGCGUAAUAGCUCACUGGUCUAAUGACGUUGCGCCGAAAAUGUAACGGGGCUAAGCAUAGUACCGAAGCUUUGAAUUCCGCAUAUGCGGUCUGGUAGGGGAGCGUUCUUCACGGGCUGAAGGUGUGUCGUAAGGCAUGCUGGACUGUGGAGAAGUGAUUAUGCUGACAUGAGUAACGAUAAAACGGGUGAAAAACCCGUUCGCCGUAAACCCAAGGUUUUCCGGGUAAAGGUAAUCUUCCCGGAGUUAGUCGGCCCCUAAGGCGAGGCUGAAAGGCGUAGCUGAUGGGAAACGUGUUAAUAUUCACGUACUUGUGUGUUCGCGCGAUGAAGGGACGCAGGAAGAUAGGCAAGCCGGGCGCUGGUUGUCCCGGUGCAAGCGUGUAGGGAUGAAGAGUUGGCAAAUCCGCUCUUCUCUAUCCUGAGACGCGAGUCCGUGACCGAAAGGUCUGAAGUUGUUGAGUCUAUGCUGCCUAGAAAAGCUUCUAAGUAUAGGACACGCAAACCGUACCGGAAACCAACUCAGGUGGGUGGGAUGAAUAAUCCAAGGCGCUCGAGAGAACUCUGGCCAAGGAACUCGGCAAAAUAACCCCGUACCUUCGGAAGAAGGGGUGCUUUUUAGGGUGAAGCGAUUCACUCUGUCGAGCCCUGAAAAGCCGCAGAGAAAUGGUGGUGGCGACUGUUUACUAAAAACAUAGGUCUGUGCCAAGUCGUAUAGACGACGUAUACGGACUGACGCCUGCCCGGUGCUGGAAGGUUAAAAGGAGGAGUCAGCGCAAGCGAAGCUCCGAAUUGAAGCCCCAGUAAACGGCGGCCGUAACUAUAACGGUCCUAAGGUAGCGAAAUUCCUUGUCGGGUAAGUUCCGACCUGCACGAAUGGCGUAACGAUCUCCACACUGUCUCGGCCAGAGACUCGGUGAAAUUGAAGUCGCGGUGAAAAUGCCGUGUACCCGCAGAAAGACGGAAAGACCCUGUGCACCUUUACUAUAGCUUGACAUUGGGAUUUGAGCCUGCAUGUGUAGCAUAGGUGGGAGGCUGUGAACUCUGUACGCCAGUAUGGAGGGAGCCAUCGUUGAAAUACCACCCUUGUUUGUUCAGGUCCCUAACUCCUUGCCGUGAUCCGGUAGGAGGACAGUGUCUGGUGGGUAGUUUGACUGGGGCGGUCGCCUCCCAAAAUGUAACGGAGGCAUGCAAAGGUUCCCUCAGGCUGAUUGGAAACCAGCCGUCGAGUGCAAACGCAAAAGGGAGCUUGACUGCAAGAGAGACAUCUCGAGCAGGUACGAAAGUAGGUGUUAGUGAUCCGGUGAUCCCGAAUGGAAGGGUCAUCGCUCAUUGGAUAAAAGGUACGCCGGGGAUAACAGGCUGAUCGCAUCCAAGAGUUCACAUCGACGAUGCGGUUUGGCACCUCGAUGUCGGCUCAUCACAUCCUGGGGCUG
rnacentral:rRNA from 1 species